GGGAGAGUAGUAUAGAAAGGAACCACUGGAACUCUAGAUGUGAGCAUGGAGGGAGAGUGGACAAGAAUGCAUCGCUUCCCAAGUGCCUGCAAGUUUUGUGAAUUAUUGUGAGUCCAAAUUACCCCAUCAGAUCCAUUACUACUACUAUUACUACUAUAGUGUGCUUUGCAGUUUUGAGCAAUUUACUGAAUAUACUAGCGCAUUUGCAGAAUACGGCUACAAGUCUGCAACACUGGCACAAUGACAAAGUCCAAAUGCCAAUUGUGUUGGUUCCAGCAUUGUCAAUCGAUCUGCACAUAGCACCGAACAGUGUGGAAGACACGCAUUACAUUUCAAAAUAGUAUGUCCCUGUACUGUGAUCUGAAGUAAAACCCUGAAAUAAUUGUUUUCAAGUUUGUAUCCAUGUAUUUUAUAUCCUUUUCGUCUGGAUUUCACUGUUGAUCCAUACUGACUACAAAUGUCUUCUUCUACCUAGCAUUGUUUGACUGUCAAAUUCCAUAAGAAUAUUAAGUUUAAAUUCCAUAUCUGUUUGACAUGAUUAAUUAAUCUGGUUGUUUCAUGUCUAAGCAUAUUUGCUUGCAGGAUUUCUGCACUUAUUUUUUCCACCUACGUACUAGUAUAUCUUGUUGUUCAUAGAUAGAUUAAUGUAUGGAGAGAUUAAUUGUCUGAACUAUUAUAGAUGUCCUUAUCAUGUUGCCUAGUGGAGCCACACGUGUUCAGGUCCUCGCUAUCCUCGCCAAUGUUUCGUAUAUGAAGGGGAUAAUCCUGGUAAUUUUUGGGUGUGGGAAUGCUCUUGCUAUGAAUGAUGACUUCUAGUCUUUGCAUUUGUGUGUAUUUGUAUGUUGUAAUUCGCUGAGCGAACUGUUGUGAGUACAGAGUAAUAGAACAUAGGUUGGCUUAUUUGGCUUUCUUGAACGUCAUCUGUCUAACCUGUUGGCCUAUUUAAAAAGCUCAUCUCCUUUUGUUUUAGCAGGUUCUUUGGCAACUAGAGAAGCAAGCUGGACAAACUUUUGGCCAUUCAAAAACUCGAUGAUCAUGACAUCGUAAGAGCAAUUAAUCUGUAUGACAACAUCAUUCUCAUCCUUGCUUGGUCUGUAAAAAUAUAAUUGAUUGUGAGCUAUUGCACAAGCACCCUGUAUAGCAUUAUGUUUGGUGUUGUGAAAGAUCAUAUUGCUAUGAAGAUAUUAUUGGUUUCAAGUCAUGCUACUAUGAGAGAUUAUGUUGUUGUGAUGUGACUGAUAUUGAUGUGAUUAGAUAUUGAUUCCAAGUCAACCAAAAUUAUGUUCUUGAUGUGAAGAACUGCUGUCACAUUUUUAUUAGGUGUCAUUCACAAUUUUAUAGCAAGUUUGUCUAGCUAUGAUGCUAUUUAACCUGUAAAGAUUGUAUUUUUAAUAGGUUUACACCAUUUUAACUCAAUAGGGAAAUCCCUGCCUACCAAACAGUGUUUUAUAUGGAGGGGUUGUGGCUGGAGAGGGAUUUGAGGUUUGAAGGGGAUCUGAGGGGAUUGGGUGGAAGAGGAGGAUUCACCAAAUCCCCUGAAAUCCCCUUCUCCCCAAACCUCUCAAAUCCACUCCUAUCAAACAAAGCCUAAGUGAGACUGUUCUUGGCCGAUCCGCUUUCUCCUCUUCUCUUAUUUUUUUAUUCUCAGUUAAAAUUUGCUGAUGUUGGAUAGCUCCCAUCAGGUUGCUCUUUUGAUUCACUGCAUUCAAGAUGCUCGUCCUAACCUGAAGCAACACCUGCACCUGAUGCUUUGACAGGGUGACCAUCAACGGUGAUUGAGGGUUAGCAGGGCCGAAGGAUUUACUGCACCAGGGAGUAGGCGAGAUCAUCGAUUUGGACGCUUCCGUCGAAGUUGUCGUCCGUGCAGUUGAUUUGGUCGUGGACGUGGAUUUUGUUAGAUGUGUAUAGUUCAUUGUGUACAUUCCCAUUGUAUAAGGGGCUUGUCUGCACUUUAUCACACCUGUAUAUGUACUUGCCUUUGGCCCUCAGUAAAGAGUUAGUUGCU
rnacentral:lncRNA from 1 species